CUGGAAUAGUAAAUAAACUCAAGGGUCAGACUUCUGCUUGGAACAUAGCAAAAGAUUUGGAGAUAAAAACCUAGGAAACAAACAAAGGGAAAUGAAAGGGAGAGAGUGUGUGGUGAGUAAAACAAACAGCUGAUAUUUAUAUGGAAGAAGUUCCAUGGGCUAAGUUCAAAGAAGAAACAGGACAUAAUUACAGAUGAGAGUUUAUUAACUUUAUUUAUUUUCUGUUUAAAUCCUGGAGCAAAAAUGAUAGGUGUGUAUGUGAGAUGGUGCAAGAGGAGGAUAUGCAAGAGAAUUAUGUGAUAAAGCUAAAACAGAAGAAAGGGAAAUUAAAUAUUUUAAAUAACUGAAACAUGUUUAGUCAGGUAUGGGGGAUUUUUUAGUUACCUAUACAGGCUCAGAACUUCCUAGGUUGCAUGUUUAUUUGAGGGGCCUUAUAGGCAUCUUGUUUCUCCUCCACCCAUCCUUUCACUAUGAGUUGAAGUUGUAGAGACUUCUAAAUAGCUUACCCCAAGGAACUAAAGUACAAAACGAUUGCUCCAAAUUAGCAGUUUCUUCAUUGAGAAAGGAAGAAGUGGAAAUAUUCUUUUUUUCCUCAAGUCUACUUUCCGUUUGAAACAUUGUAGACAUGGGCCCAUUGGGAAAUUCUGUGUUCUAGUUAACCUCUGAGUGUAAUUUUCAGUUCAGUAAACUUUGGUCUAUUUUUAAACUCUCUCCUGAAUCUCUGAGGAUGUUGUGUAGUCUGAAAGAUAGACUCUGUGGCCUCUGGGAAUGAACUGCUCAUAUUUGAAUGUCCUGUGUGCUUUUGGUAUGAUCAUUAUGCUGGACUCACAUGAGAGAUGGAAAAGAUGGGGAAACUGAGUGCUAGAAAUCCAAGGUUCAUAAAGUUGGAUUCCCCAAAUGAUAAACACAUAAAAGAUAAUGGCAAAUGAAAUACAAACUACUUUUAAUUACUUGCCAAACUCUUACCUCAAAUGCCAAUGAAAAUGAUUACAACAAUCUGUGGAGUGGCAGAUACUUUAACUUAAAUGCUAAAAUUUGAAAUGCACCAGACUUGAGGGACUCUCCCUUCUCUUAAGUUAAAACCCAAACAUGCACUUCUGAAAUUUCAUCAAAGACAAAAAAGUACAUCUUAUGAACUGAAUGUUUGUAUCCACCUCAAAGUUCACAUGUUGAAAGUUCUACCCCUCAAGGUGAUGGUUUUAGGAGGUACAACCUUUGAGAGGUGAUUAGGUCACUAAAGUAGAGCCUUCAGGAAUGGGAUUUGUUUUCUCAUAGAAGAGACCCUAAAAGCGUAUUGACUGUUCUACCAUGUGAGGACAUGGCAAGAAGGCACUAGAAAGUGGACCUUCACCAGACACUGAAUCUGCUGAAAACUUGAUCGUGGACUUUGCAGCCCCCGGAACUGUGGGCAAUAUAUUACCAUUGUUUAUAAGUCACCCAGUUUAUGGUAUUUUGUUACAGCAGCCUGAAUAGACUAAGACAGUGCAUGAAUGCGUACCAGCCAGCUUAAGAAAAAUAAUAUAGGACUUUUACGGGAGACCUUGUGGCAUUUUACAUAUCUUGAUGGACACAUGAGGGAAGAAAGACUAGCCUCUUGUAAAUGACAUUUAAAUAAUCAGUGACCGUUCUCUUUAUUAAAUAUGGCUGAAUCCCUUUCUUAGAAUAUGACACAUCAUAUAAACAAUACUUGAUAAACUAGAGACUUAAUGAAUAAUUGAAAAACAAAUAUAUUUUCCUUUCUAUAGACUUUCAAGGUUGGAUAUGAAAAAGAAAAAUUAAUGAAAAAAAUGACAUUCCCAAAUAGAAUUUACAGAAUUCACAAACUAUCAAUAACCUUUAUUAAAUAAUCAAAUACAAACCUUAGUUAUUUCAUUUUGGAUAUGGUAGAACAGUCAAUCCAAAUGUGAUCAGCUCAUCAUAUAUCAAAUAUAUGUUACAUGAAAUGUAAUCAAGAACUCUGAAAUUUUACUUAAUUCUAUUUCUAGAAAUAUCUAAUUAAUUAAUGUUUUAGAGACACCGUCUCACUGUCUCUAGGCUGGAGUGCCAUGGUGCCAAUGUAGCUCACUGCAGCCUUGAACUCCUGGGCUCAAGCAAUCCUCCCACCUCAGACCCCUCAGUAUCUGGGAUUACAGGUGUCUUAAUUGUCAACAUGAUAGUAUUAAGCAGUGGGGCCAUUGGAGGGUGAUUAAGUUAUGAGAGCACAGCCUUCAUGAUUGGGAUUAGUCAACUUAUAAAAGAGAUGCAAGAGAGCUGUUUGCCCCUUUUCCCACGUGAGAACACAGUAAGAGUCACCAUCUAUGAAGCAUAGUAUGAGCCUUCACCAGACAGCUAAUCUACUCAUAACUUGACAGUGAACUUCCCAGACUCCAAAACUGUGAGAAAUAAAUUUCUAUAAUUUAUAAAUUACCCAGUCUAAAGUAUUUUGUUAUAUCAGCCUGGAUGGACUAAGAUUAUAUUUAUAUGUAUAUACAAUGUAUACAUGUGUAUAUAUAAACAUACGUACAUACAAUGCAUACAUGUAUAUAUAUAAAUGCACAUGCACAUAUAUAUGGAAAUAAUAUUCUUUAUAUAUGUCUAGGAAAAUCUCUUGGAGAACUGAAAAAUAAGCACACAUACACAUAUACACCAAGCUUAUGGACAGUAGAAUGUUUUAAGAAAGAGCUAUGAUGUCUAGUUUGGAAGCAAAUGAGAAGAUCCUAUUCUUAUUUAGGAGAUAUAAAAAUAACUAAAUAGAUAAAAAUGACUGAAUUAGGAAAAAGACUGAAUGCCAUGGGCUGAUUGUUAAGAGACAUGCUUGAAUGUUUGGAAUAUCCACAAACUUAUGUUUAUUUAAUGUAAGCAGUUAGCCUUCUGAUUCUCAUAUUCCACAUAUCCACAAAUAAGACUCAAAACUUUAUUCUGUAUUAUCAAAACACAAAACAAAUGUAAAUGGAAUUUAAAAGCCAAAGAUGCUACAAAGAUUUUGACUACAUGAUGACAUCAAAAAGACAAUGAAGUUGAUAUUGAAUAAGACAAAGGACAAAAUGUGAUGUAACAGAUAUCAUCAAUACUCUACCAAGCUCUCCUUGGAUCCUUCAUGCAGGCCCUGCGUGCUCUGCUCUGUCUUCUGUGUGAUUCGUUUCUAACAGUGAGCACCUGUGACUAACUUUGAGGAUGACUGUUGCAUUAUCACAGCACUUGCUUGGAAGGUGCAGAUACUCAAAAGUAUUAGACAGUCUUUAUCUGCCUGUGACUGUUCUUAGCCAAUGACUCUCUAUUGUAGGAGUUUCAACGCCUAGCUCCUUGGCCACAAGUACACAAAUUCCAAUAAUAAGCUACACAAGAGCUUUCCCCAGGGGCUUCCCUCAAGCAUUCUUCCUUGAAAUCGCUCAAUUGCUUCGCAUCCUCUUCUGCUCUGUCCUAAUCUCCUAUUACCUUACUAGAUUGUUCUGGAAAGUCAUGAGGACAUAGUUAUCUCAGGGUCUUCUUUUGGGAAACUCAAAAUAAGACAGAUGAUGAUUCCUCCUAUUAUAUAUCACUUUACGGUUUUCUUUAUUAUAUUACUUUAUCUUCAAUUCAUCUUGUGAGGUGUUUAUUUCAAAAAUGGAAAAGGUGACCCUAUAAAGAUUAAGUGAUUAACCUGAUAUCAUACAACAAUUCAAGUGCAAAGUCAAAACUUGAACCUUUCUCAGAAUGUUAGAAUAUAUAUAUAUUUUCAGUGACAUCUAUCCAAGUGUAUAUUAUUACAGAACACUUUAGUUUGCAAGAUAGCUCCCCUUGUUUGAUUGGAAAAUCUUGGCUUAAUAUCAAACACCAUGGAGAUAUAAGAAAAAACAACAAUUUUAGGGAAAGAUAAGUUUAUUUUACUUGCAUAUAAUAUCUGAAGAUGUAAGAUCUUAUGAAAUAAAAUUUUUAACAAAUUGUCUUAUUUGUUACUAAUAGUAAGUGUCAAGUUGAAUGACCCUUAAAUAAAAGAAAAACAUGGAUAAAUUACAUUUCUCCAAGAGACAAUAAAAACAUCCUUUUUAAGUAUCUAUCACUCUAUCCAAUCUGAUGGACACUUAAAAUAUCACCUCUAGUGAUUGCAUUUGAAAGAAAAUUACUUGAACAUUUUAAUCUUUUAUAAGUUUAUAAGUAAUAAACUGAAAAUCUAAAGACAUUGAUUAAAUAAAUG
rnacentral:lncRNA from 1 species